UCUAAUGCGUAAUCAGACAAAACGUGUGAGAGAGGGAGAGAUGCGCAGAGGUAGAGAGGCCAUCACGGUCGGAGCCGCCAUCACCGGUCGUCGUCACGACCGGAGCCUCCAUCACCGCUCGUCGUCACGGCCAGAACUCUCCCACUGCCGCGCCGGGCUUUGUCACCAGCAUCGCCAACCAGGAGCGAUCGCGAGCCACCGCCGCACUCUACUGGAGCGUGAUCUACCGGAAUUCGCUUUCCUCCACCGGCGAAGACCAGCGACGAGGGGUUCUUUUAGAUGCUUGACAGAUGAAUGUUCGGAUGAAAGAAGUUUCGCCACCACUCAGCACCGCCAUCUCUCUACAAGAGAGAAGAUGCCACCACGGCCGGGGUUGAUGUCGCUAUCUGCUAAAACUAGCCCCGUCUGCCGUCGAGCCAACCGGGCUCGUCCAACCACCACCGCGACUGAUUGCUGCCACCAACGAUAGACAAAAUACGGAACGAAACCUUCAUCGCCGCGCGACUCCGCAAAACAGGACGAAAUCGUCAUCGCCGGCGACUCUGCAAAACAGGUUUUUCGGUUCUCCUCAAAUGGGUAUCAAAUAAAGGGUAAUGGGUUUUGGUGAAAGUAUUUAGCAUGUUUGGUAGUUGGGUGGAAUGGGAAUGAAUAUUAAUAGUUGGGGAAGGAAUGAAGAAGUGAAAUGAAACCCUUAUUUAAUAAGGGUAUGGGUUUCUCCAUUAAUGGGAUAUUCCAUACCCAUAGUAGCAUUCUUAGAACCUAUCAACCAAACACUAACAAUCACUUUCAUACCCAUUCCCUAUACCAAAACCCCCAACCAAACACACCCUUGGUUUCUCCUAAAAUCAUCAGGAUUCUAUCGUUAACGCCCAGCUUUCUUCCCUCCCUCAUUCGUCUCUGAUUCGCCACCCACCGCCAUUUUAAACACUUCUCCGCCACCUAUAAAUCCCGGCCGAGGGUGAUUGCGUAUGGAGGAUUCAACACAAUUUAUAUCGGUAAGUUCUCUGAUUCGACACCGGCAUUGAGGUUUUGCAUAAUCUCGGGAAGUUCUCCGAUUAAAUCACGUCCGUCGUCUUCAUCCAUACCUCCCAGGGGAUUUAGAUUCGCCGGUCGUCUUCCUCCAUACCUCCCGGAAGGUUGAUAGUGAUAUUAUCCUGGUGAUUAACCGAGCAGUGAUGUUCAACGAAGACUCCAGCAGCAAGCAUCGGCAGGCAUGGUGAACUCCGACGAAUAAACCAGGUGGUGGUGGUUCCUCCAGCUGCGACUAACUUCUCGUCUCCUCGUCAUAGUGGUUCCCCCUCCGACGACUUGCGAUGAACAGAGCAGCGACUGGCCUCUUCUCUUGUUGACAGCAGCAAGGAACGGGAUCCGGCAACCUUCCUUGUACAGCGGCUGACUCCGGCGCAGUUAGAACUUCCGACGACGGCAGCACGCAGCAUUAGCUCCUCCCAGCGACCUCUGUUUCUUCUCAGCGAGCAGAGCAACGGUUGUGGGCAGUCCGGUAGUGUCUUCUCUUCUCUGGCGAUGCUUGGUGAGCGAGGAAGAUGAUGUUGGCGGUCGACGAAUCAGAGAAGCCAUGGAUUAAAGAUGGAUUAUCAUGGAAUAGUAGUUGAUUAUAAGGCACAUUCUGUCUGUCUUCUUUCUUGAACUAAAACAUCACGUAACCGGGAGAGUUUCAGCUUCGCAUUUAGCGUUCCAAGAGUUGGCCAGGCCUUUCACAACUUUCAUGCCCAGAAAUCACCCAGCGAAUCUCCCAACCAGUUUGAGUAUUCUUUCAUCCUAAAAAAUAAGCACUUCAUCUGGCUCAAGGUUAACCGCUCCCUAUAAGCACUGCAAUUAUAAACAAGUCAUGCACAAGCAACAAAUAACAGUAUAUCACUUGUAAUUCACCACGUCCAAGUGAUGGCUUUAACAUAUUAGCAAUAUCAUAGCCGCGAUGGCCGCCAUGGCUGGAACAGAGGUCACUGCCGGUGGAGAGCUACUGCUCACGCCACUGGAAGAAGCCCAGACUUCGCUAGAACGAGAGAGAAGUCUAGGAGGGAGCUAGGAUGAUCAAAGAAGAGAAGGACGAUGGAGGGAAGGAGAGAGGAAGGCCGGUGACAUGCUCGCCGGUGACUGCUACUACCAUUUACUCUCGCCAGCUGCCAUGAGGAAGGAGAGGGGAAGAGAUACACGAAAAUGUUGCUAUUGGACAAGGGACGAAGAGGCCGUUGGGUCAGAAACGACGAGGAAGGAAGACGUUUGCGCAGAAAAAAUCCAUGUCAGCAUAUUUUUACCUAUAACAUAUAGGUAACCUAUGAAAAAUUCUAAGUGAAAAAAAAUUAUCGUUUGUGCAUCGAAACAGAAGUUAUGAAAGGUCAAGGUGCAGUAUGAAGAAUCAGUUAUAGUUUAUGAUGCGGGAUGACACUUUAGCCAUUAGUAAAAUGAAGUGCAAGUAGAAGUAGAUCUAUUUCAUAAAAUAUGAACAACAAUGUAUUCCCAAUGUUGACACUUAUAAAGUAGGCAUCACAUGCAUUGCAAGGCAGUGUUAAACACUGUAUAUGUACCAUUUUCAUACUCUAGGAAAA